AACGAACGCUGGCGGCGUGGCUAAGGCAUGCAAGUCGAACGGAUCUAUCCAACGGGUAACUGAAGGGUAGAUUAGUGGCGAACGGGUGAGGAAUACAUGGACAACGUACCCUGGACACGGGGAUAGCGGCGGGCCGCAAGGCUCUUUAGCGAAAGUGCCGGUAAUACCCGAUGAUCCCGCAUGGUCGCAUGAUCGUGUGGGCAAAGCUCCGACGGUCUGGGAUCGGUUCAUGCCCUAUCAGCUAGUUGGCGAGGUAACGGCUCACCAAGGCGGCGACGGGUACCGGGCGUGAGAGCGUGACCCGGCACAUCGGAACUGAGAUACGGUCCGGACACCUACGGGUGGCUGCAGCAACGAAUAUUCCGCAAUGG
rnacentral:rRNA from 1 species